CACACAGAGCGAGGGAGAGAACAGAGUCUCUGCUGCUCUUUCCCCGCGUAUGCUCGCGGGUGAAUGAGGACUGCUCUUAUGUCAUAUGGUGAAGAAUCUUUUAGUUCUGCUCUGAAAUGCUGGAUCACAAUCGCAACCACAUGAAUAUGUGAGGUCACUGCAUUGACAUGAGGUCACUCUCUGGCUCCCUUGUCAUCAUCAGCACUGUGAGGAGUGCUUAUCAUCAGAAGGAGUACAGAUCACAGCACAGGCUAUGUGCAGGCAGGAUAGGAGGACCCAAAGUGCAGACUCGUGGAGGCAAACGUGAACUCAAAGUCAGCGUUUACUGCUGGACAGCGUUUAACAGAUGUAAUGAAGCAAUUUCAGAAUACUCUUUAAAUAUUGACUUUCAAUAAAAUGUAUUUAAAUCAUUGCGGCUGUUAUGUUUUCAUGUAAAUAUUUUUCAUGUAAAAUAUUUCUGUACACUCUCCCUGUUCUUUGAG
ensembl:lncRNA